GGUCCAACAGGAAACCACGGCCAGGCUGCUCUUCAUGAUGGUGAGAUGGAUCAGGUCGCUGGCACCAUUCCAGACUCUGUCUAGGUCAGACCAGUGCGUCCUGGUGGAGGAGUCUUGGAAGGAGCUGUUUUUGGUCCACCUGGCUCAGUGGUACCUGCCCCUUGACCUGAGUGCCCUCCUUCAGAGUCCCGCUGCCCAUGCCAGAUUAGGCAACGACGAAAGGACUGCCCUGGAGGUCGCCACGAUCCAGGAUGUCCUCCGUCGGUUCAGACAUCUGAGUCCGGAUAACACCGAGUGUGGAUGUCUCAAAGCCAUCGUCCUUUUUAAACCAG